CAGCAGCCGCGGUAAUACGGAGGGUGCAAGCGUUAAUCGGAAUUACUGGGCGUAAAGCGUGCGUAGGCGGUUCGUUAAGUCUGUUGUGAAAGCCCCGGGCCCAACCUGGGAAUGGCAAUGGAUACUGGCGAGCUAGAGUGUGUCAGAGGAUGGUGGAAUUCCCGGCGUAGCGGUGAAAUGCGUAGAGAUCGGGAGGAACAUCAGUGGCGAAGGCGGCCAUCUGGGACAACACUGACGCUGAGGCACGAAAGCGUGGGGAGCAAACAGGAUUAGAUACCCCGGUAGUCCCUGUCUCUUAUAC
rnacentral:rRNA from 1 species